UGCGCCGUCCUUGGGGAGUAGCCGAUUCCUGAAGCCUAAAAUUCAGGAAUGCUCGUAUCAACAUACUCGUUCUUCACUGAACGUGGUACGGGCGGCCAGGUUGGCAGGCGAGACCAUAGACACGCGAGCCGUCGUCUGGUUGGGGGUGGGUUGCGUGGAUAUGGAGAACCGCCCAGCCGAGGCU
rnacentral:sRNA from 1 species